GAUGAACGCUGGCGGUCUGCCUAACACAUGCAAGUCGAACGGGGUAGCAAUACCUAGUGGCGGACGGGUGAGUAACGCGUGAGAAUCUAGCUCUAGGAUGGGGACAACAGUUGGAAACGACUGCUAAUACCCGAUGAGCCGAAAGGUAAAAGAUUUAUCGCCUAGAGAUGAGCUCGCGUCAGAUUAGCUAGUUGGAAGUGUAAGAGACUCCCAAGGCGACGAUCUGUAGCUGGUCUGAGAGGAUGAGCAGCCACACUGGGACUGAGACACGGCCCAGACUCCUACGGGAGGCAGCAGUGGGGAAUUUUCCGCAAUGGGCGAAAGCCUGACGGAGCAAGACCGCGUGAGGGAGGAAGGCUCUUGGGUUGUAAACCUCUUUUCUCAGGGAAGAAGUUCUGACGGUACCUGAGGAAUAAGCAUCGGCUAACUCCGUGCCAGCAGCCGCGGUAAUACGGAGGAUGCAAGCGUUAUCCGGAAUCAUUGGGCGUAAAGCGUCCGCAGGUGGAGUGGUAAGUCUGUUGUCAAAGAACGGGGCUUAACCCCGUAAAGGCGAUGGAAACUGCCACACUAGAGGCUGGUAGGGGUAGAGGGAAUUCCCAGUGUAGCGGUGAAAUGCGUAGAGAUUGGGAAGAACACCAGUGGCGAAAGCGCUCUACUGGACCAGAACUGACACUCAGGGACGAAAGCUAGGGGAGCGAAAGGGAUUAGAUACCCCUGUAGUCCUAGCCGUAAACGAUGGAUACUAGGCGUAGCUCG
rnacentral:rRNA from 1 species